rnacentral:lncRNA from 1 species
GCCAUGAAAAUAAAUAUUCCUGAAAGAGGAAUAUGAGUGGAUGCAAUGGUGGUGGAUGACUCAGAUGAUAAUAUAGUAGAGUUGGAGAAAAAAGGAGUGGACUCAAAAAAGGUAAUAUCAGUGUAAACAAAAUAUCGAUGAAGUUCAGAAGAGUAGCACUUAUUUUUUUUUAUCCUUAUGAAUAUCCAAAAAAUAUAUAUUUAAUAAAAUGAGCAUAUAACUUAGAUGCACCAGGAGAUAACUGAUGAACGAAGCAUACAUAUCCAAA